UAGCGGAGGAAAAGAAACUAACAAGGAUUCCCCUAGUAGCGGCGAGCGAAGCGGGAAGAGCUCAAAUUUAUAAUCUGGCACCUUCGGUGUCCGAGUUGUAAUCUCUAGAAAUGUUUUCCGCGUUGGACCGCACACAAGUCUGUUGGAAUACAGCGGCAUAGUGGUGAGACCCCCGUAUAUGGUGCGGACGCCCAGCGCUUUGUGAUACAUUUUCGAAGAGUCGAGUUGUUUGGGAAUGCAGCUCAAAUUGGGUGGUAAAUUCCAUCUAAAGCUAAAUAUUGGCGAGAGACCGAUAGCGAACAAGUACCGUGAGGGAAAGAUGAAAAGCACUUUGGAAAGAGAGUUAACAGUACGUGAAAUUGUUGGAAGGGAAACGCUUGAAGUCAGACUUGCUUGCCGAGCAAUCGGUUUGCAGGCCAGCAUCAGUUUUCCGGGAUGGAUAAUGGUAGAGAGAAGGUAGCAGUUUCGGCUGUGUUAUAGCUCUCUGCUGGAUACAUCUUGGGGGACUGAGGAACGCAGUGUGCCUUUGGCGGGGGUUUCGACCUCUUCACACUUAGGAUGCUGGUGGAAUGGCUUUAAACGACCCGUCUUGAAC
rnacentral:rRNA from 1 species